rnacentral:rRNA from 1 species
UGAGGAAUAUUGGUCAAUGGACGCAAGUCUGAACCAGCCAAGUAGCGUGCAGGAUGACGGCCCUAUGGGUUGUAAACUGCUUUUAUAUGGGGAUAAAGUGGGGAACGUGUGCCCUUUUGCAGGUACCAUAUGAAUAAGGACCGGCUAAUUCCGUGCCAGCAGCCGCGGUAAUACGGAAGGUUCGGGCGUUAUCCGGAUUUAUUGGGUUUAAAGGGAGCGUAGGCUGUUUGUUAAGCGUGUUGUGAAAUGUAAGAGCUCAACUUUUAGAUUGCAGCGCGAACUGGCAGACUUGAGUGCGCACAACGUAGGCGGAAUUCAUGGUGUAGCGGUGAAAUGCUUAGAUAUCAUGACGAACUCCGAUUGCGAAGGCAGCUUACGGGAGCGCAACUGACGCUAAAGCUCGAAGGUGCGGGUAUCGAACAGG